rnacentral:rRNA from 1 species
CCUACGGGAGGCAGCAGUGAGGAAUAUUGGUCAAUGGCCGAAAGGCUGAACCAGCCAAGCCGCGUGAAGGACGAAGGUUCCAGGCAUUGUAAACUUCUUUUGUCAAGGGACAAAAUCAGGCUCGAGAGCCUGACCGAGGGUACUUGAAGAAAAAGCAUCGGCUAACUCCGUGCCAGCAGCCGCGGUAAUACGGAGGAUGCGGGGUUUAUCCGGAUUUAUUGGGUUUAAAGGGUGCGUAGGCGGACUGUUAAGUCAGAGGUAAAAGCCCGGGGCUCAACCCCGGCGAGCCGUUGAAACUGGCUGUAUGGAGAGGGCGAGAGGUAUGCGGAAUGCGCAGUGUAGCGGUGAAAGGCUUAGAUAUUGCGCAGAACUCAGAUUGCGAAGGCAGCAUACCGGCGGCGAUCUGACGCUGAGGCACGAAAGCGUGGGUAUCGAACAGGAUUAGAUACCCCUGUAGUC